GCCUUGGAGGCACUUUUAAGUUGGCAAAGCUACCAGUGGUCAAAAGCAUCAGAGUUCUUGAGAACGAUAAAAUUUUACCUGAGUUAAUGAUUAGAGAACAAGGACUUACUAGCUGACCGCAUGAACGGCCAUCCCCUAGAUGAAAGGCAGAAUUUCUCCAUGGCUACAGCUGCCAUUUAUGAAGCAAGUUUCAGGUGGAGUUUCUUCAGUGUCCAGUCUUCCUGGAGGAAAUGCCAACAUUUUGCUAACGUUGGUGCAUGUAACUCGGCAGGUUUUCCUGACAUUUGCUCCUGCCCGUGGGAGUCUGAAAUAUGCCAGGACCCUGUAGCCUUCAACUCAGUCACUUUUCCAGCUAAGGACCUCUGGAUUCUUCCAUUCACCACUGCUAUGUCUGAGAGACAGGCCAUCUGCUGGCACCAUCCCACUUCCUCCAAGAAGACUGAACACUGAAGAAACUCCACCCACAAAAGUGGUAAUGCUAGUGCCUUUCACUCAACUGCGGCAAAGGACUCUUUGAACCAUGGUCAAGAAGAUGGUGGAAUCAACUUUCUCCACAUUGCUUGGGCCAACAGUAGGCAAGUCUUCCUAAAGCUCCUAAUCCACAAGUCCUAUGCUAUCAGCAGAAGACAGGUGUCCUUAAAGCCUCUGACCUCAACAACUAUGGAGGUCCAUGUGGCUAGCUAGGAAGUCUCUGUUCUCUAAUCAUUAAUUCAGGUAAAACUUUAUCCUUCUCAAGAACUCUGAUGCAGGUUGAUGGCUGGUAGGUUUCAGUGUAACUCAUAUUUACCAUUCCUUUGUUUAAAAAAUGUUUUAAGGUAUAACAAAGUAACUUAAGGUAUAGAAAUGCAAGUUAUCAGAUUUCUUUCUCAUUAUGCUACUGCUCAUAGUCUUAACAUUAAUCAAUAAAGUUCUGAUAAGCUACUAAUCCAACUGACAGAAUACUAAACAUCACACUCUACCACUCUAUGAUCAUAACUACAAGCUCAAAAUUAACUGUGUUAAAGAUAUCUGUCAGUUUUAAGAAUGUUAAUGGUUAUGACCAAAUCAUUUCUAACAUGAGUAUUCUAAUGUAUCUAAAAUUUAUGUUUUCACAAACUCAAAGGAUUCUUAUAAGUUCCAGGGAGCCGAAUUGGACCCACCCAAAACAGGUCAGAUUCACUCCAGGUAAAUAUUCAACCUUUCCUUGGUCCCGGGACUCCCUUCCCUUAUCUUGGAACCCCUCCUCAUCUUUUGAUCCUCUUCCCCUCAAGUACCAGGUCCUAAGAAAUUUUUUUUCCUAAACUUAAACUUGUCCUCUGCUCCGCCAACAUCUUGCCAGGUCUAAAGAGGCUCCAGAGCGUUCCAUAUAGACUGAACUGCGAUGAAACAACCAGCUAUCCCAGGAUGUGGCAGGACCCCAGCAUUCUCAGGUUCCCCAAAGAUGCUCAACCCCCCCCAGGCUUACUAAGUACCCCAAAGAUUGGAGAAAGAGGAGGAGUAAAAGAGGAAGAGGAAUAGGGGAAAGAAGAGAAGAGAAGAGGGGAGGAGGAGGAAGAAGAGGAGGAGGCGAAGAAGUUUCACUGUAAGGUCCCUACUGGCCUUGAACUCAUGCUCUCCCUGCCUGAUUCUCUCGAGUGCUGGGAUUACUGGCAUACUGCCACACUGAAAAUUAGAUAUUUUGAUUAACCUUCUGCUUUAUCGUCUCUGCUCUGCCUCGCCAAACUCUUUUCUUUGUGGUAAGGGUCAGAUGGGUAGCCUGUGACUUUCUAUUAAAAUUCAUAUUUCCUCCAAACACUAGGUUAUUGUUUAGGCUUCUUCACUAAUUUUCAUAGUUUUAGAAAUGCAAAAAUCAUAAGAAUCAUCAUUCUUAGGUUGUGAUAAGCUUGACUUUACUAUCUAUUGCAACUUCAAGAACAAUCAGUUAAAAUAUGAUUGCAUAAUUAUUCCCCCUCCACUUUUUGAAAGGCCAAAUUUAUUGUGGAUGGUGGAGAAUUGGUAAUGAAGCAAGGCUGGGUUUCUUCUUUUUAAAUUAUAUUUUCAAAAGAAGUCCAAUCGUCAUAGCAACGCUCUGAAAAGAUUCUGAUGCAACUUUGGAAUUACUUCACAUACCCAAUUACAUAGGAUGUCUGCUUGGGAUGAGAGAUAAAUGCUUCUGUGACUGCAAACAUAGAAAGAAAAUCCAUCUUCAUAUUUUUAGCCAUUUAUUAAAGCAGAGGAAAAUCGUUUUCAAAAUGCAAUUUCUGGCUUCAAGAAAGAUUAUUGCAAAAAAAAGAAAAAAGUGUCUCGGUGCAGU